rnacentral:rRNA from 1 species
AUUGAACGCUGGCGGCAUGCUUUACACAUGCAAGUCGAACGGCAGCACGGGAGCUUGCUCCUGGUGGCGAGUGGCGAACGGGUGAGUAAUACAUCGGAACGUACCCUGAAGUGGGGGAUAACGUAGCGAAAGUUACGCUAAUACCGCAUAUUCUGUGAGCAGGAAAGAGGGGGAUCGCAAGACCUCUUGCUUUAGGAGCGGCCGAUGUCGGAUUAGCUAGUUGGUGAGGUAAAGGCUCACCAAGGCGACGAUCCGUAGCGGGUCUGAGAGGAUGAUCCGCCACACUGGGACUGAGACACGGCCCAGACUCCUACGGGAGGCAGCAGUGGGGAAUUUUGGACAAUGGGCGCAAGCCUGAUCCAGCCAUGCCGCGUGAGUGAAGAAGGCC